AUGAUGAAGAAAAGCUGUUGUUGUUCGCUACGGGAGGGCGCCGUGACUGCUGGGAUUCUGCUGUCGAUCCUGUCCUUGGCAGAGGUGGGGUUUGAGCUGUGGCUGUUGUUGUCCGGCCGAUCUGUCGAUCUUAAUUACUACGGUGUCCUGACGGCAGUCGGAGUGGACGCGCUGCUCUUUCUUCUGAACGUCAUGCUCAUCAUCGGAGCUUGUCUG